rnacentral:rRNA from 1 species
GUCUACGGCCAUGCCACCCUGAACAAGCCUGAUCCCAUCUGAUCUCGGAAGCUAAGCAGGGUCGGGCCUGGUUAAUACUUGGAUGAGAGAUCGCCUAGGAAGACCAGGUGCUGUAGGUG